GUCCGUCUAGUCAAGGCUAUGGUUUUUCCAGUGGUCAUGUAUGUAUGUGAGUUGUACUAUAAAGAAAGCUGAGCGCUGAAGAACUGAUGCUGUUGAACUGGGGUGUUGGAGAAGACUCUUGAGAGUCCCUUGAACUGCAAGGAGAUCCUACCAGUCUAGCCUAAAGGAGAUCAGUCCUGAGUGUUCAUUGGAAGGACUGAUGUUGAAGCUGAAACUCCAAUACUUUGGUCACCUGAUGUGAAGAGCUGAUUCAUUGGAAAAGACCUUGAUGCUGGGAAAGAUUGAAGGUAGAAGGAGAAGGGCAUGACAGAGGGUGAGAUGGCUGGAUGGCAUCACCGACUCAAUGGACAUGAGUUUGAGUAAACUCUGGGAGUUGGUGGUGGACAGGGCGGCCUGGUGUGCUGUGGUUCAUGGGGUCACAAAGAGUCGGACACGACUGAGCGACUGAGCUGAACUGAGCUUCCUCGGUAGCUGCUUGGUAAAGAAUAUGCCUACAAUGCAGGAGACACCGGAGAUGCAAGUUUGAUCCCUGAGACAAGAAGAUCCCCUGGAGGAGGAAAUGGCAACCCAGUGCAGUCUUCUUGCCUGAAGAAUCCUAUGGACAGAGAAGCCUGGUGGGCUACAGUCUGUGGGGUCGUAAAGACUGGCUACGACUCGGCACACAAGCACACAAUAGUGCAGAAAGCAUCCUAAUCCAACGUGACUGAUGUACUUAAGCAGCAAGGACCUCUGGAGGAGACAGACUCACAUGCAGAGAGAGCGCCAUGUAAAGACAAAGACAGAGAUGACUGCUGCGCCUACAAGCCGAGGAGCACCAAAGACUGCUGGCAAGCAGAAGCUAGAAAGGGUAGACUCUUCCGCACAACCCCUCAGAAGGAACUAACCCUGCUGUCACCUUGAUCGUGGACUUGUAGCUUCCAGGUGUCUGAUAUCUGGAGAGGUUUCAAGCAGGAUGAUUUUUCAGUAGCAUCACGCUGCCUAAUCCCCGCGGAUGCCAUUUGUAUUGAAGUCUAUGUAAAUGGUGCCCCCUGCAGGAG
ensembl:lncRNA